UAGGGAAUAUUGCACAAUGGGCGAAAGCCUGAUGCAGCAACGCCGCGUGUGCGAUGAAGGCCUUCGGGUCGUAAAGCACUUUUCUGGGAGAGGAGAAAGGACAGUAUCCCAGGAAUAAGUCUCGGCUAACUACGUGCCAGCAGCCGCGGUAAAACGUAGGAGGCGAGCGUUAUCCGGAUUCACUGGGUGUAAAGCGCGUGCAGGCGGUUCGGUAAGUUGGGCGUGAAAUCUCCUGGCUCAACUAGGAGAGGUCGUCCAAUACUACCGGGCUUGAGAGCGGUAUAGGAAGAUGGAAUUCCCGGUGUAGUGGUGAAGUGCGUAGAUAUCGGGAGGAACACCAGUGGCGAAGGCGAUCUUCUGGACCGUUUCUGACGCUCAGACGCGACAGCUAGGGUAGCAAACGGG
rnacentral:rRNA from 1 species